GGUCAAGUUAUUAAGGGUGCAGGGCGGAUGCCUUGGCACUAGGAGCCGAUGAAGGACGCGAUAAGCUGCGAUAAGCUUCGGGGAGUUGCACGUAAACUUUGAUCCGAAGAUUUCCGAAUGAGGAAACUCACUUAGAGUAAUGUCUAAGUAUCAUUAAGUGAAUACAUAGCUUAAUGAGGGGAACUCAGGGAACUGAAACAUCUAAGUACCUGAAGGAAGAGAAAGAAAUUCGAUUCCGUAAGUAGCGGCGAGCGAACGCGGAAUAGCCCAAACCAAUAAAGUUUUCUUUAUUGGGGUUGCGGACAUAUCUUAAACGAAGAGGUAUCGUAAUUGAAGAGGUUUGGAAAGACCCACCACAGAAGGUAAUAGUCCUGUAUGUCAAACGAGAAAACUUCAGAUAUGAUCCAGAGUACCACGGGACACGUGAAACCCUGUGGGAAGCAGGAGGGACCACCCUCCAAGGCUAAAUACUACCUAGUGACCGAUAGCGUAUAGUACCGUGAGGGAAAGGUGAAAAGAACCCCGGGAGGGGAGUGAAAUAGAACCUGAAACCCUGCACUUACAAGCUGUGGAAGCACAUUUCUUGUGUGACCGCGUACUUUUUGUAGAACGGGCCAACGAGUUACGUUAAGUAGCAAGGUUAAGCACUUAAGGUGUGGAGCCGUAGCGAAAGCGAGUUUUAACUGAGCGUUCAGUUACUUGACGUAGACCCGAAACCGGGCGACCUACCCAUGAGCAGGAUGAAGCGAAAGUAAAAUUUCGUGGAGGUCCGAACCCACGAGCGUUGAAAAGCUCGGGGAUGACUUGUGGGUAGCGGUGAAAUUCCAAUCGAGCCCGGAGAUAGCUGGUUCUCCCCGAAAUAGCUUUAGGGCUAGCCUCAAGGUGAGAGAUACGGAGGUAGAGCACUGAAUGUCCUAGGGGGUAUUGCACCUACCGAAGACUAUCAAACUCCGAAUGCCGUCAUCUUAUACUUGGGAGUCAGACUGUGGGUGAUAAGAUUCAUAGUCGAAAGGGCAACAGCCCAGAUCGUCAGCUAAGGUCCCUAAAUGUAAGUUAAGUGGUAAAGGAUGUGGGAUUGCACAGACAACCAGGAUGUUGGCUUAGAAGCAGCCACUCAUUCAAAGAGUGCGUAAUAGCUCACUGGUCGAGUGAUCCUGCGCCGAAGAUUUCCGGGGCUAAAACUUACUACCGAAGCUACGGCAUCAGUAAUGAUGGGUAGGGGAGCUUCCCAUACAGGCUGAAGCAUGACCGUAAGGACAUGUGGACAGUAUGGGAGUGAGAAUGUUGGCAUGAGUAGCGAGAUGUGGGUGAGAAUCCCACAGGCCGUAAACCCAAGGUUUCCAGGGGAAGGUUCGUCCGCCCUGGGUUAGUCGGGACCUAAGCUGAGGCCGAAAGGCGUAGGUGAUGGACAACAGGUUGAUAUUCCUGUACUACCGAUAACCGUUUGAGAGAUGGGAUGACACAGUAGGAUAAGCUAAGCACACUGUUGGUUAUGUGUGCCCAAGCAUUGAGGCAGUCAGAGUAGGUAAAUCCGCUUUGAUAAUGCUGG
rnacentral:rRNA from 1 species